GAUGAACGCUGGCGGCGUGCCUAAUACAUGCAAGUCGAGCGAACAGACGAGGAGCUUGCUCCUCUGACGUUAGCGGCGGACGGGUGAGUAACACGUGGAUAACCUACCUAUAAGACUGGGAUAACUUCGGGAAACCGGAGCUAAUACCGGAUAAUAUAUUGAACCGCAUGGUUCAAUAGUGAAAGACGGUUUUGCUGUCACUUAUAGAUGGAUCCGCGCCGCAUUAGCUAGUUGGUAAGGUAACGGCUUACCAAGGCGACGAUGCGUAGCCGACCUGAGAGGGUGAUCGGCCACACUGGAACUGAGACACGGUCCAGACUCCUACGGGAGGCAGUAGUAGGGAAUCUUCCGCAAUGAGCGAAAGCCUGACGGAGCAACGCCGCGUGAGUGAUGAAGGUCUUCGGAUCGUAAAACUCUGUUAUUAGGGAAGAACAAAUGUGUAAGUAACUAUGCACGUCUUGACGGUACCUAAUCAGAAAGCCACGGCUAACUACGUG
rnacentral:rRNA from 1 species